GAGUUUGAUCAUGGCUCAGGACGAACGCUGGCGGCGCGCUUAACACAUGCAAGUCGAACGCUCUUUGCCUCUUCGGGGGCAAAGGGAGUGGCGAACGGGUGCGUAACACGUGAGCAACCUACCUCCUGGUGGGGGAUAACCUCGGGAAACCGGGGCUAAUACCGCAUACGGUCUUCGGGUCACCUGGCCUGGAGAGGAAAGGUGCUGCAAGGCAGUGCCGGGAGAGGGGCUCGCGGCGUAUCAGCUAGCUGGUGAGGUAACGGCUCACCAGGGCGAUGACGCGUAGGGGGCCUGAGAGGAUGGCCCCCACAUUGGGACUGAGAUACGGCCCAGACUCCUACGGGAGGCAGCAGUGGGGAAUCUUGCGCAAUGGCCGAAAGGCUGACGCAGCGACGCCGCGUGCGGGAGGACGCCUUUCGGGGUGUAAACCGCUGUCAGGGGGGACGAAGGCUCAAGGGAGGCAAUGCCCUUGGGAUUGACGGUACCCCCAGAGGAAGCACCGGCUAACUCCGUGCCAGCCGCCGCAGUAAG
rnacentral:rRNA from 1 species